CAGAGGUGGCAAGCGUUGUUCGGAAUUACUGGGCGUAAAGGGCGCGUAGGCGGCCUUCUAAGUCAGACGUGAAAUCCCCAGGCUUAACUUGGGAACUGCGUCUGAUACUGGAGGGCUUGAGUGCGGGAGAGGGAUGUGGAAUUCCAGGUGUAGCGGUGAAAUGCGUAGAUAUCUGGAGGAACACCGGUGGCGAAGGCGGCAUCCUGGACCGACACUGACGCUGAGGCGCGAAAGCCAGGGGAGCAAACGGGAUUAGAUACCCCGGUAGUCCUGGCCCUAAACGAUGAGUGCUUGGUGUGGCGGGUAUCGAUCCCUGCCGUGCCGAAGCUAACGCAGUAAGCACUCCGCCUGGGGAGUACGGUCGCAAGGCUG
rnacentral:rRNA from 1 species